GAUGAACGCUAGCUACAGGCUUAACACACGCAAGUCGAGGGGCAGCAUUAGGUAGCAAUACUGAGAUGGCGACCGGCGCACGGGUGCGUCAGGCGUAUCCAACCUUCCCGUUACUCCUGGAUAGCCUUCCGAAAGGGAGAUUAAUACAUGAUGGUGUUGAAAUUCCGCAUGUUAUUUCAACUAAAGAUUUAUCGGUAACGGAUGGGGAUGCGUGACAUUAGAUAGUAGGGGGGGUAACGGCCCACCUAGUCUACGAUGUCUAGGGGUUCUGAGAGGAAGGUCCCCCACACUGGAACUGAGACACGGUCCAGACUCCUACGAGAGGCAGCAGUGAGGAAUAUUGGUCAAUGGCCGGAAGGAUGAACCAGCGAAGUAGCGUGAAGGAUGAAGGUUCUAUGGAUUGUAAACUUCUUUUAUACGGGAAUAAAACCUCCCACGUGUGGGAGCUUGUAUGUACCGUAUGAAUAAGCAUCGGCUAACUCCGUGCCAGCCGCCGCUGUAAAAC
rnacentral:rRNA from 1 species